rnacentral:rRNA from 1 species
UGGGGAAUAUUGCACAAUGGGCGCAAGCCUGAUGCAGCAACGCCGCGUGAGGGAUGACGGCCUUCGGGUUGUAAACCUCUUUUAGCAGGGAAGAAGCGAAAGUGACGGUACCUGCAGAAAAAGCACCGGCUAACUACGUGCCAGCAGCCGCGGUAAUACGUAGGGUGCAAGCGUUGUCCGGAAUUAUUGGGCGUAAAGAGCUCGUAGGCGGUCUGUCGCGUCUGCUGUGAAAUCCCGAGGCUCAACCUCGGGCCUGCAGUGGGUACGGGCAGACUAGAGUGCGGUAGGGGAGAAUGGAACUCCUGGUGUAGCGGUGGAAUGCGCAGAUAUCAGGAAGAACACCGAUGGCGAAGGCAGUUCUCUGGGCCGUAACUGACGCUGAGGAGCGAAAGCGUGGGGAGCGAACAGGAUUAGAUACCCUGGUAGUCCACGCCCUAAACGAUGCGAACUGGAUGUUGGUCUCAACUCGGAGAUCAGUGUCGAAGCUAACGCGUUAAGUUCGCCGCCUGGGGAGUACGGUCGCAAGACUG